rnacentral:rRNA from 1 species
GAAUAUUGGACAAUGGGCGGAAGCCUGAUCCAGCAACGCCGCGUGAGGGAUGACGGCCUUCGGGUUGUAAACCUCUUUCAGCACAGACGAAGCGCAAGUGACGGUAUGUGCAGAAGAAGGACCGGCCAACUACGUGCCAGCAGCCGCGGUAAUACGUAGGGUCCGAGCGUUGUCCGGAAUUAUUGGGCGUAAAGGGCUCGUAGGCGGUUUGUCGCGUCGGGAGUGAAAACACCGGGCUUAACUCGGUGCUUGCUUCCGAUACGGGCAGACUAGAGGUAUUCAGGGGAGAACGGAAUUCCUGGUGUAGCGGUGAAAUGCGCAGAUAUCAGGAGGAACACCGGUGGCGAAGGCGGUUCUCUGGGAAUAUCCUGACGCUGAGGAGCGAAAGUGUGGGGAGCGAACAG